UACGGGGGGGGCAAGCGUCGUUCGGAAUUACUGGGCGUAAAGGGCUCGUAGGCGGCCAACUAAGUCGGACGUGAAAUCCCUCGGCUUAACCGGGGAACUGCGUCCGAUACUGGAUGGCUUGAGUUCGGGAGAGGGAUGCGGAAUUCCAGGUGUAGCGGUGAAAUGCGUAGAUAUCUGGAGGAACACCGGUGGCGAAGGCGGCAUCCUGGACCGACACUGACGCUGAGGAGCGAAAGCCGGGGGAGCAAACGGG
rnacentral:rRNA from 1 species